rnacentral:rRNA from 1 species
AGCGAACGCUGGCGGCAGGCUUAACACAUGCAAGUCGAGCGCAUCCUUCGGGGUGAGCGGCGGACGGGUGAGUAACGCGUGGGAACGUGCCUUCUGGUUCGGAAUAACCCUGGGAAACUAGGGCUAAUACCGGAUACGCCCUUUUGGGGAAAGGUUUACUGCCGGAAGAUCGGCCCGCGUCUGAUUAGCUAGUUGGUGGGGUAACGGCCUACCAAGGCGACGAUCAGUAGCUGGUCUGAGAGGAUGAUCAGCCACACUGGGACUGAGACACGGCCCAGACUCCUACGGGAGGCAGCAGUGGGGAAUAUUGGACAAUGGGCGCAAGCCUGAUCCAGCCAUGCCGCGUGAGUGAUGAAGGCCUUAGGGUUGUAAAGCUCUUUUAUCCGGGACGAUAAUGAC